UAGUGAGUUUGAUCCUGGCUCAGGAUGAACGCUGGCGGUCUGCUUAACACAUGCAAGUCGAACGAGACCUUCGGGUCUAGUGGCGCACGGGUGCGUAACGCGUGGGAACCUGCCUUAGGUUCGGAAUAACUCAGAGAAAUUUGAGCUAAUACCGGAUAAUGUCUUCGGACCAAAGAUUUAUCGCCUUUAGAUGGGCCCGCGUUGGAUUAGCUAGUUGGUGGGGUAAAGGCCUACCAAGGCGACGAUCCAUAGCUGGUCUGAGAGGAUGAUCAGCCACACUGGGACUGAGACACGGUCCAGACUCCUACGGGAGGCAGCAGUGGGGAAUUUGGACAAUGGGGCGCAAGCCUGACGGAGCAAGACCGCGUGAGGGGAAGAAGGCUCUUGGGGUUGUAAACCCUCUUUUCUCUGGGGAAGAACAAAAUGACGGUACCAGAGGAAUCAGCAUCGGCUAACUCCGUGCCAGCAGCCGCGGUAAUCU
rnacentral:rRNA from 1 species